rnacentral:tRNA from 1 species
GCAGUGGUGGCUGAGUGGUACAAUCCUUGCCUUCUAUGCAGGAGACCUGGGUUCAAUUCCCAGGCAAUGCU